AUUGAACGCUGGCGGCAGGCCUAACACAUGCAAGUCGAACGGCAGCACAGGAGAGCUUGCUCUUUGGGUGGCGAGUGGCGGACGGGUGAGUAAUGUCUGGGAAACUGCCCGAUGGAGGGGGAUAACUACUGGAAACGGUAGCUAAUACCGCAUAACGUCACAAGACCAAAGUGGGGGACCUUCGGGCCUCACACCAUCGGAUGUGCCCAGAUGGGAUUAGCUAGUAGGUGGGGUAAUGGCCCACCUAGGCGACGAUCCCUAGCUGGUUUGAGAGGAUGACAAGCCAACCGGGAACGGAAAACCGUUCCAGAUCCCACGGGAGGCAGCAGUGGGGAAUAUUGCACAAUGGGCGCAAGCCUGAUGCAGCCAUGCCGCGUGUAUGAAGAAGGCCUUCGGGUUGUAAAGUACUUUCAGCGGGGAGGAAGGCGGUGAGGUUAAUAACCUCGCCGAUUGACGUUACCCGCAGAAGAAGCACCGGCUAACUCCGUGCCAGCAGCCGCCGUAA
rnacentral:rRNA from 1 species